AAGUAGGACCAUCCUGGUCCCUGUCCCCAGGACAAUCUCUCAGCCUCUGGCUUCCCAAAACCUGCAUGGUGCUCUGAAGCUCGUUUAUUUCCUCCAGCACUGACAUCUGCAAGUUACUCUGGUUCCCUGUCCAAAAGUAGAGUUGAUUCUGGGCUGGUGGGAAGGAAGCAGAGGCAGAGGAAUAGUGGGAUAGGAGUUGUGUUUUAGGUGGAAGAACCAGGCUGUGUGGAUCCCAUUAGACCUGCCUCACUGAGCCUGUUCCUGGAGACACACCACGUUUUCCCUCCUCCCUCCUUCAUGCCUGAGAGCACAGCCACACCCAGCUCCCAAGCACACACUUCUACCUGCUGUGAACCCUUACUUGGCAACCGGAGUUCCUUUUCUUCCUUUUCUUCUCCAGAUGAGCUCAGAUGACCCAAGGGAGUGAGACGAGGCCAGAUUCCAAUUUAUUUCCUUGAGCUCCAAACCUGAGACAUGUUCACUGCCUACAACCAUGAGCUCUAAUAGCUUGCCUGCCAUUACAACCACCCCACAUUGCAGCUGAGGCAAUUUGCUUUUCAAAAGUAAUAGAGAGUAAAUUGCAGAGGAAAUAUUUUAUGCAAAUUAACCAAGCUUAACAUUUUGAUAAAGGCCUCUUAUUUUCAAAUGAACCAAGGAAUCCAAUACUCCAUUGCAAGUUUAACACAAAAGAAAAUUUUUAAAGCCUGAGUUUUUAAAGUAGGUGACAGCAAGAGACAUUAACCACCUGUAAGAUGGAAUACAGAAGCAAAGUGCAUAAAUCUAUUAGUUCAAAACAAUAUUUAUGUGAGCUUAUGGAUUAAGGUGUUUCAAUAAUUUAAACAAUUCUCUCCCUUCUUCUGAGUGGACUCAUCGCUAAGCCAAAACAUAUUUGUAGUGGGAUCAAUGCUACAUUUGCAAAUGAGCUUGAAAUGUGCUGUCAGAGCAGGAAGAGAGCUAAGAUUCCUCCAGUGUGAACUGUGGGCCAGGCCCUGUGCUAGGUGCUUGGCGUGUCUUAUCGCUUUGCAUCAGGAGUGCUCUGAAUUCUCCCAGAGAAAAUGACAAAGGGACCAGGAAAAACCACAAGCCCAUUAUCCUUGGUGAAGACACUUUGUUUGGAAAGAAAAUUGCUGAGAAGAGUAUCGUUAACGUCUUUCUCACCUGCUCCCAGGACAUCUAUAUAAGAUAGCCCUUCAAAGUUGAAAAAGCACAUUCUAUCCCCUUAGAAUGGGACUAAGGCAUCCAGCUCAUGACUCUAAAGAAAGACAAGAAGGUCUAGAAGGCUAUUAAACAGAGAGGGGUGACUGGUCCACCAGUCACAUUUUGACUUCAUGGAAAAGGUUAAGAGACUGCACAGUAAAGCACAGUGUCUGGAGGAGGAGAGGAACCACAGCGGCAGUCUGGAGGAGAGAGGGGAAUGGGAGACAGCGGCGCUGCCCCACCUUGAACCCCUGGUCCUGAGCCAGGCGCGGCCCUUCUGCUGGCCUGUUCAUUCCAAGCACCAACAUCUGCCCUGAAUGCUUCAAGGUAAUUAGCACCACAUGUUAUCAACAGGAAGCUGGUACCCACGGGCACUUGAGAUAAUUGUUUCAGCACCAGCACGUCUCUGCCUACCGUGAAAGGUCACUGCAGCCGAUAUAUUCCCACCACCCCCAUCCCUCUCAUCAAAUGAAAAAAGCUGUCCCUGUGACUGCAGUUCUAUCAGUUCUUUGGUGCCGGGCUCAGGGCAUCCACACAAAGGCUUCUCAGAUGGACAUGUGCUCCAGGAGUUUGUAGUGAUUACUUCCUGUGACAUCGCAGUGUGGCCAUCCCCUCAUACUGGCAGUAGUUGAGGAACACAGCCAGGUUUCGUGUGUCUGGGACCUGAUGUGCUCAGAAGAAGAAAAUACAAUUGCAUUAGAUGACUGUGACCAAAACUGCUCAGGACCCCUGCCAAAGUCCGAGGAAGCAUCUUCCAGAGAGCCAGAAGAAGUGGAAAUCUCAGUGCCCUGGCCAGUCCUGCUCCAGGAAGGUGACUGAGCCGCAGUCUCCUUCCUCUAGAUCUGUGUCCCCUCUCCUGUUCUCUUUUUCCUGACCUCACCCUCUUAAUACAUCCUCCUCUGGGUCUCACCUUAGCCAGCACUCACCCCCGAACCUCUCAUAGCCCUCAGUCUCUCCAGCCUUGUCUGUCCCACCCCAAUCCGUCCUCUCUCCCACCAAAGGAGAACUGAGAAGGAGCAGGGGUCCCGGCUAUCUUGUUCACCCCCUCUACCUCCAGUGUCCCAAACGUCACUCAGUAAAUAUUUACGGAGUACAUUUUGAUCACACAGAAGGCAUUGCUAUUUGCUAACUGAUGCUGUCCUGCUUCCCACUCCACGUAACAUGAAAUUCAGGAGACUAUUAGUCCCCAGGGAGACAUAAUCAACAAGUUCUUUAUUCCAGAGCAAACAGGAGCAAGAAGAAUCUAAAUUGUGAAGUAAGUCAGCAGCUGGAGGCCCCAGCACGAGUUUCUCAGCAGGCAGCCAUGUCCUUCUGUCUGCAUGGAGAGCUGAUGGCCCCCACAGGUCAAGGCUUCAGACACGGCAGCAAGAAAUGCAGGACUGCCCCCAGGCAGCCAGCAUGUGCUUGUUACUCUGUGCGCCCAGUCCACGGAGACCUCCUGCACCCGGGUCAGGAACGGGAGCUCGCCUUCUGCAGACACUGACCUCCUACAUGGCACCCCCCAGUCCCACCCAGGUGAUAGCUGCACCAAGUCACGGGGAAGGGAAAUUUCAGUGGCUCCCCUGUCUUCUCCAUCAGACCCCCACAAGACCUCCCCCGCAGAGCGCUGGCCACACUGGUUUCUCCCCACCUCUAGAAAAUGCCCGCCCCCCCCCCGGCUCAGGGCCUCUGGCUUGGUUAAUGCCCUGCAUCCUUCAUUUCUCCUUCAGUCACACAGAGGGGCAAAUCCCCAGGUGGAACCACAGUCCUCUCCUGCACGCACUUUCUCCUGUUGUCAUUUUACUUCCAGCAUGUGCUUACUUGGUUAAUGCUGGUUUCCCCCACUAGACUGUCAUCAUCAUGAGCACAGGGUCGAGCCUAGGUCUGCUUUUACUAACCACUUUGUCCCCUGUACCUGGCACUCGGGUGGCCGCCCUAGGUAUGCAUUACCCAAACUGAGUCUUAAGAAGAUCCCAUUUGCUCAGUUAACAAUCAGUGUGCUCAGAGCACACUGAUGCUCAAACAGAUGCCCAGUGUGAGCAUUAGUGUACUCUCGUCUCAUGGCAUGUAGUAACAAUCUCAGACAACAACAUCAGCAUGUAAUACGACCACGUGUAAAACAGUUAGCUAGCAGGAAGCUGCUGUGCAGCACAGGGAGCUCAGCUCCGUGCUCCGUGAUGACCUAGACAGGUUGGAUGGGGCUGUGGGUGGGAAGG
ensembl:lncRNA